UUUAGUGGCAAACGGGUGAGUAACACGUAGGUAAUUUACCUGUAAGAGAAGGAUAACUCGAAGAAAUUCGAGCUAAUGCUUCAUACCAUUACGUUUGUAUAAACAGACAUAAUGAAAGUCCACCUUUGGUGGAUGCUUGCAGAUAAGCCUGCGGCUUAUCAGCUAGUUGGUGGGGUAAUGGCUCACCAAGGCUUUGACGAGUAGCUGGCUUGAAAGAGUGACCGGCCACAUUGGCAUUGAGAUACGGGCCAAACUCCUACGGGAGGCAGCAGUGAGGAAUUUUGCGCAAUGUUCGAAUGAAUGACGCAGCGACACCGCGUGGGGGAUGAAGGCUUUCGGGUUGUAAACCCCUUUUCUCAGGGAAGAGUAAUGACGGUACCUGAGGAAUAAGCCUCGGCUAACUACGUGCCAGCAGCCGCGGUAAUACGUAGGAGGCGAGCGUUAUCCGGAUUUACUGGGUGUAAAGAGGGCGUAGGCGGUUCUUCGAGUCGGAUGUGAAAUCUCCCGGCUUAACCGGGAGGGGUCAUUCGAUACUGUUGGGCUAGAGGACAGCAGAGGGAGGUGGAAUUCCCGGUGUAGUGGUGAAAUGCGUAGAUAUCGGGAGGAACACCAGUGGCGAAGGCGGCCUCCCGGGCUGUUUCUGACGCUGAGGCCCAAAAGCGUGGGGAGCGAACAGGAUUAGAUACCCUGGUAGUCCACGCCGUAAACUAUGGACACUAGGUAUGGGGAGUAUCGACCCUCUCCGUGCCGAAGCUAACGCUUUAAGUGUCCCACCUGGGGACUACGGCCGCAAGGCUAAAACUCAAAGGAAUUGACGGGGGCCCGCACAAGCAGCGGAGCGUGUGGUUUAAUUCGAUGCAACGCGAAGAACCUUACCAAGGCUUGACAUGUCGGAAGUAGUGACCUGAAAGGGAAGCCACCUGUUAAGUCAGGAGCCGUCACAGGUGCUGCAUGGCUGUCGUCAGCUCGUGCCGUGAGGUGUUGGGUUAAGUCCCGCAACGAGCGCAACCCUCGUUGCCAGUUAAUUUCUCUGGCGAGACUGCCCCGCAAAACGGGGAGGAAGGUGGGGAUGACGUCAAGUCAGCACGGCCCUUAUGCCUUGGGCUACACACACGCUACAAUGGGUGGUACAGAGGGCAGCAAUGGAGCGAUCCGGAGCUAAUCCCACAGAGCCAUCCUCAGUUCGGAUUGCAGGCUGAAACCCGCCUGCAUGAAGUUGGAGUUGCUAGUAACCGCAGGUCAGCAUACUGCGGUGAAUACGUUCUCGGGCCUUGUACACACCGCCCGUCACGUCAUGAAAGUCGGCAACACCUGAAGUCGAUGGGCUAACCUCGGUUUCCGAGGAGGCAG
rnacentral:rRNA from 1 species